UCCUGGAUUAAAAAAAAAAAAAAAACCCUGUGGAAAGUUUGUGCUUUGCCCUGCUCCCCACGUGUUUUGUGAAAUUACAAAAUAUACAUAUAAAAAUGAGUACUACAUUCUUUGACAAUUAUAUGGCAGCUGAAGAAGUAGGGGCAUUGAGGAAUGAAGGAUACCUCCAAAUUUUUAUAUUAAUAGGUACUGUCAUUUUUGUACUCCUCAAUACUAUAUUUAGAGAUGAAAAAAUAAAAAAUAUUGAGGAUAAAAUAAAACAAAAUGAGGAUAAAAUAAAACAAAAUGAGGAUAAAAUAAAACAAAAUGAGGAUAAAAUAAAACAAAAUGAGGAUAAAAUAGAAAAUAUUGAGGAUAAAAUAGAAAAUGUUGAGGAUAAAAUAGAAAAAAAUGAGGAUAAAAUAGAAAAUAUUGAGGAUAAAAUAGAAAAUAUUGAGGAUAAAAUAGAAAAAAUUGAGGAUACAAUAGAAAAAAUUGAGGAUACAAUAGAAAAAAUUGAGGAUAAAAUAGGAAAUAUUGAGAAUAAAAUAGAAAAACUUGAGGAUAAAAUAAGAAAUAUUGAGAAUAAAAUAGGAAAUAUUGAGGAUAAAAUGGGAGAUAUGGAAGAUAAAAUAGGAAAAAUUGAGGAUAAAAUGCAAGCCCAAUUAGAAGAUCUAAAAUGUUUCUUACAGGAUCAAUGGGCAAACACCCACUCUACCAGAAACAGACCUGUUUCUGAACCUUUGAAUGAGGAAAUUUCCUUCCCUGAAAUAGAGAUGGAAAACACCUUCCCUAUAGCCCAGUUAACAGACUGCUUCUCUCGUGCAGUGCAAAUCUUGUCUGAAUUUAAUCCCCAAAACCCUUCCCCUGCAAUCCCAGCUUCUCAUGUUCCUUCUACAGAAAACCAAAUUCCAAUGCAAGGGAGAUCUUGUCCUCCUAGAGAAACCUGUCCUUGUCAAACUGACCCACAGGUGCAAAAUUCAACUAGAGGCCUGUUUCCUCUAAGAGAAGUACCUGAAAUAGGACGAAAUGGGGAUGUGGUGACUUUAAGACAUAGGAUACCGUUUACUCCCCAAGAAAUAAAUGAAUUUACACGAAAUAUCCCCACAUAUGAACAAGAUCCUUUUCUAGUAACAAAAAGAUGGGAGACAUAUUUUUUCAUA
rnacentral:lncRNA from 1 species